rnacentral:hammerhead_ribozyme from 1 species
AUCCGGCUGACGAGUUCCAAAUAGGACGAAACGCACAUCAAACUGGAU